rnacentral:rRNA from 1 species
UACGGAGGGGGCUAGCGUUGUUCGGAAUUACUGGGCGUAAAGCGCACGUAGGCGGCUUUGUAAGUUAGAGGUGAAAGCCCGGAGCUCAACUCCGGAAUUGCCUUUAAGACUGCAUCGCUAGAAUUGUGGAGAGGUAAGUGGAAUUCCGAGUGUAGAGGUGAAAUUCGUAGAUAUUCGGAAGAACACCAGUGGCGAAGGCGACUUACUGGACACAUAUUGACGCUGAGGUGCGAAAGCGUGGGGAGCAAACAGGG